rnacentral:rRNA from 1 species
GACGAACGCUGGCGGCGUGCUUAACACAUGCAAGUCGAACGAAGUGGCGAACGGGUGAGUAACGCGUAAUCAACCUGCCCUUCAGAGGGGGACAACAGUUGGAAACGACUGCUACUACCGCAUACAGAAGGCGGGGAUUGCGUCUGAUUAGCUAGUUGGAGGGGUAACGGCCCACCAAGGCGGUGAUCAGUAGCCGGUCUGAGAGGAGGAGCGGCCACAAUUGGACUGAGACACGACCCAGACUCCUACGGGAGGCAGCAGUGAGGAAUCUUCCGCAAUGGACGGAAGUCUGACGGAGCAACGCCGCGUGAGUGAUGACGGCCUUCGGGUUGUAAAGCUCUGUUAAUCGGGACGCGGUACCGAAAUAGAAAGCCACGGCUAACUACGUGCCAGCCGCCGCGGUAAUAC